rnacentral:rRNA from 1 species
GACGAACGCUGGCGGCGUGCCUAAUACAUGCAAGUAGAACGCUGAGGGAGGAGCUUUCUUCUCUGGAUGAGUUGCGAACGGGUGAGUAACGCGUAGGUAACCUGCCUGGUAGCGGGGGAUAACUAUUGGAAACGAUAGCUAAUACCGCAUAAGAGUUGAUGUUGCAUGACGUUUGCUUAAAAGGUGCAGUUGCAUCACUACCAGAUGGUGCUGCGUUGGAUUAGCUAGUUGGUGGGGUAACGGCUCACCAAGGCGACGAUACAGAGCCGACCUGAGAAGGGGGAUCGCCACACUGGGACUGGGACACGGCCCAGGCUCCCUAGGGGGGGAGCAGUAAGGAAACUUCGGGAAUGGGCGGAAGGCUGACCGAGCAACGCCGCGGGAGGGAAGAAGGUUGUCGGAUCCGAAAGCUCUGUUUUAAGGGAAGAACCAGUGUGAGAGUGGAAAGUUCACACUGUGACGGUAUCUUACCAGAAAGCGACGGCUAACUACGUG